UAAUCACUACGACGAAGCUCUCUCAGACGCGAAGAAGACUGUUGAACUUAAACCAGAUUGGGG
rnacentral:sRNA from 1 species